AGCGUGCGGGCGGCAGAAGGAAGAAGUGAUCCAAGCCAUAGUCACGAAAUUUAGGGUUUAUGGUUAGCUAGGGUUUAGGCGAUGGCGCUGGCGAGGACGACGCGGCUUCGCGCGAUCCGGGAGCUCCUGCUCCUUCCCAAGCGAUCUCCCAAUGCAGGGCAAUGCCGGGAAUUUCGAGCGACGAGCGUCCUCCGCGACAAUCUGGAGGAGAUUAUCAUGAGAAUCUCGGCCAAGGGGAACCAGGCCCGGGGCGCGCUGGCACCGCUCGUCGGCGUUGGGCCGAGCAAGCCGUAUCGCCUCUCGGGCGAGGACUCGGAGUGGUCGGAGAACUUCACCAUGAAGCCGCUGGACCGGCAGCUCAAGAAGAAGCAGCUAUGGCUCGAGUGUAAGAAGGCCUGGCAGAUGAAAACACAGGUGGAUGGCAGCAUUCUCAACGUCGUGAGGGGCGGAUUCGCGGUUUCCAUCGCCGGAUUCGUGGCGUUCAUGCCCCGGAGCAUGAGGAAGACCGCCAACGUCCACUCCAAGUUCUACAUUCUCAACGUGAGAGCCGACAACAACGAGCUCAUCGUCGGCGAGGCCGAGGGGACUGCCAUGACUUGGUCGAAGCUCUUCCGGUUCUACAAGAGGAGCUUGCAGCGGCUGGACGUGGUGGUGUGGAUCAAAGGCACGGUGGUGGCGCAUGCCAAGAACGGCUAUUGCGUAGCUCUUGCCGGGCACUUGGCUUUUCUACCCAAGGAGUACAGGAGGAGCACCCGGCUCGACUCGACGUUCCGGAUCAUGACCAUGUAUCCCAGGACGGGGAAGAUCGUCGUCCAGGAAGUGAACACCAAGCACUUCGCGUCGCUAGCGCCGGUGGCGGUCGAGGAAGACAAGAACAACGACAGUGAGGAAGACGAGAAGUUGGAUCGAGGAGGAGUGACGCGGUGAGGAUUUCGAGAAUUUGCAGUGGAGGCAGGCACUCAGCUCAAGACUUUCCAGGUACUCCACUCGUACUGUGUCACUUUCACGGGGCUUUUCCGUCUUUCAGUUUCCUUCCUGGCUCAUGCUCGAUGGGGAUGCCGCGCUUCUCGUCCGAGCU